GAAAGAAGGAGAACAGAACUUACAUGACACCCGGCUGGGAGCAAAGGCUGCUGGUCUCAAAAUAGUCAGCAAUGAAUUUUCGUGGAAUUUGCCGUCCAUAGGAGAAGCAGCAGGCAGUCGGGGUGUCAGCUCCAUCUGCAGGGGAAGGGACAGAACAAAUUCUAGUCAUCCUUGAGCAGGACAGGACAGCUACUACAACUUAAGAGUCGAGGAAGGCUGCCUUCUUGGGGUGGGAGUUGGAAGGCUGAGGCUCUGAAGGCAUUUGGGCAUUUGGGACCAGAAAUAUCCCCAUGUCCAUCUUUGUUUCUGUCCUCUGUUCUCUCUGGAUCUUCACUGUGGACUUUCUCUUCCUCUGUUUUCUGCCCUGUGUCAUUCCCACAGCUUUCCCUAAUACCAGUCAGCAAAAAGGACACCAGGGUAUCACAUAAGGCAUCCCAGAGGCAGACUUCCGUAGGAAUCCUAGGACUGACUGCCACAGAAAAGACUGCUGUGGUCUGCCUUAGAUCAGAGAAUGGGACACCUCCUGUAGCAGCGUGGACUCACAUGGCGCUGAGAAGACUUCGUUCCAGAGCGCCAUGGUGCAGAGAAGAACAGCAAGGGCAGCGGUGGAGACCUUCAUGGUGCUGAGCAGGUAACAGA
rnacentral:lncRNA from 14 species